rnacentral:rRNA from 1 species
UACGUAGGUGGCGAGCGUUGUCCGGAAUUACUGGGUGUAAAGCGCGUGUAGGCGGUAGCCCAAGUCUGCUGUGAAAUCGCCCGGCUCAACUGGGCGCGGUCGGUGGAAACUGGGCAACUGGAGGACGGUAGAGGCGAGUGGAAUUCCCGGUGUAGUGGUGAAAUGCGUAGAGAUGCGGAGGAACACCGAUGGCGAAGGCAGCCCCCUGGGCUAGCACUGACGCUCAGGCACGAAAGCGUGGGGAGCAAACAGG